GGACCUGCCCAGUGACUAAGAUGUUAAACGGCCGCGGUACCCUAACCGUGCAAAGGUAGCAUAAUCAUUUGCCUUUUAAUUGGAGGCUUGUAUGAAUGGUUUGACGAGAGCUAAGCUGUCUCUUUUGAAUUAUAUAAAAAUUAACUUUUAGGUGAAGAGGCUUAAAUUUAUUUAAGGGACAAGAAGACCCUGUUGAGCUUUAGUGGGUCUAUGGAUAAUUGGGUUAGUGAUCUGAUCCUGUCUAUGUAUAAAUAUAAUGAAAUUUUGUAGCUAAUCUUUAGUUGGGGCGACUGAGGAACAUUAAGAGCUUCCUUUAAUUAGGUUAUGAAAAAUAGUGUUUGCUUUCUAGUUUGAGUUGAUCCGAUAGUUAUCGAUUAAGGGAAAAAGUUACCACAGGGAUAACAGCGUAAUCUUUCUGGAGAGAUCUUAUCGAAAGGAGGGUUUGCGACCUCGAUGUUGGACUAAGAUAUCCUGAGGGUGUAGAAGUUCUCGAAGGUUGGUCUGUUCGACCAUUAAAAUCUUACGUGAUCUGAGU
rnacentral:rRNA from 1 species